GAGGAAGUAUCAUUUGGUUUUACGCUCCUGAAGACAUUGCCGGAGGUGUUGUGUCUUCCGAAAAUUAUAAGCUAACUAAAUCAAUGGCAUUGACCGGUGAAGGUUUAGUGUUCUUCUAUCAAUUUGGAAGGUCAUUUUCAAGUUCGGUUUAUGGAGAAGCCUUGUGUGUCAGCAGUUACUGUCGGAUUUCUGGUUGUGCUACCAUUCCGUUUUCUGGCCGCCUCCUAAUUUUAAUGAGUAUUGAAGCAGUCCAACUCGAAAGAAAGCUGUUGACACUAGUGCCUGCAUUUACUUGGAAGAUUAGUCUCUCUGUCCUGAUGACCUCUAAAAUCCUGAAAUGGUAGAAGUCCCGCUGGCGUUUAUGGGAUAUGGGGACCCAAUUGGUGAUGGCUGCACUGUACAUAUUGGUAUUUAUCCUGUAAUUAACAGUGCCAAUUUUUAGGAAGGAGAGUGUAAGCAUCACAAAUGAGGAUGACCUACAUGUAUUCGGAGACAUUGUGGUGGACUAAUUCUCCUGCACAUCUCUCGUGCCAUCUUCUCAAUUAUUCGAUGGGUGAUCAGUAGAAAAUCAGAUGUGAAGGUUAACAUGCAAUAGAGGAAUAGUGAGAAUAGUUCAAAUAAAGGGGACACCUGUGAAUACAGUGGACCCCGCAACAUCUGUGGUGAUCCCGGAAACAGAGGGAGAAGAGGAAGACAGUGAAGAAGCUAAUUAGAGCGGACUAGAAAUCAAAAACAUUUAGGAAAAUAGUUUUUUU